rnacentral:lncRNA from 1 species
UCAGGGUUUGAAGUGGAAACAUUGAGGUCAAGUGGUGAGUGUUCCUUGUGUUUGUGAAUUGAAUGCUUUGAUUGUGUGAUUAUUGUUUGACUGUUAAAAGUAUUUCAAAGAUCACUUUACUAUUGAUAGGCGAGUGUGUACUUUACCACACUCGAUCUAAGUGAAUAUAAAUUUUCAACGAUUGAAUAUUACCUGUGCAUGAAUGUAAGUCAUGGCUGAAUUGGGCCCUUGUCCUUCGUCGCUAGCCUAUUCGAGUCACAAGCGGAUUCAGUCAAGUAGGUUGGUAACCUUGGGCCACUAUUUUGGUACACUAGUGUACGACUAUGAAGUUAGGUAGAGUACUGGUCAGUGAAUGAAAUAUAAUGAAUAAAUGACUGAAUGAAAUGAUCAAUGUCGGGGUUUUUGUUUUCAAAUGUAUUUUCAAAUAUCGGAAGUUAUAAGAAAGAAAUGGACGGAGACUGAAUGACUGAAUGACUAAAUGAUUGAAUGAAUGAAUGGUUCCAAGUAAGUUCAUAUCCUUUAAAUGAUUGAAUAAUUACGUUUUAAAUGCCUUGAGAUGUUUACUACUAUGCAAAAUGUGUGAAUUUGUUAAAUGCAAUAUUUUUGUGUUUUGACUGGUAUUUUGCUUGGAUGUUUGUUUGGGGAACCUCACUGGGUAAUAACUCACUCUCCCCCCCCCCUUAGAUUUGUUUUUCCUUACAGGAGUGGAGGUUCGGAGCUUAUAAGUUUGAACUAGUGUGUAAUGAUCCUCUUGCACAUGUACUUUUAGUUUGUAAUUAAGUUUGAAUUUUGAUUGAACUGUAGAAUUCAGAUGUUAAUUUGGAGGCUUGAACGGUUAUUUUGAGAAUUUAUUGGAGUGAAUGUAGUGAGUCCUGACGUGAGUUAGGCAGGCAAUCCGCCAAACCCUUGGGUACGCGUUAGGGAGAGGUGGAGUCGUCACACUAAGGACCAAAUGCAACACAUUCCUAUCAGUGACCCCAUAAUCCUGAACACUGGACUUAUUUUGCGCUAAUUCUUUUCCAUCAAAAACAAGUUUUUGAUUCUUCACAAAAAAUUCCUUGCGGUUCUAUAUCUUGAGCUUUACAGAAGCAAUAGAAUCAGACCCCAUUACCUGCAUAGGAACUGUAUCUUGAGCUUUACAGAAGCAAUAGAAUUAGCCAUUACCUGCAUAGGAAUCACAGAACCUCCAAUUGCAAGAAAAAUUAUGAUGGUAUCAUUUGAAAACGCCCCAUUUCUACCCAAGACAUGAACAGGGAAGUUCCAAUAAUCUUCAUAAACAAGAGUAAGAGCCAUGCUAGCAAUUGACAUUGCAGCUCCAAUAGAUAAUCCUCCCCUGUAUAUCAAGCGGUAAAGUUCUCAAUUUUUUAAGAGCCCACCACAACAGUCAUGAAGUUUGGUUCUUCAAUAGCCUAAUUAGUCAACCACUUGACAAAACCAUAGAUCCACUGCCAGCCUGCGAGAUACACCAUUCUCAACACCAUCCACUUGGACCCACCAUCCGCGCACAUUCUCAACACCAUAGAUCCACUUGACAACACAUUCUCAACAUGCGAGAUACACCAUCUCCUCAUCACAUCUUCUCAUUGAUCCACUGUCAAAAUUUGCAGCUACCAUCCACGCACACCGUAAAUCUAUGCCUAGGAUUCCUCGAGGUCCACGAAGCUAUGACCCUCGUCACUUUCUCACACCUACACAAGGGGAAAGGGGGAUUGUUGGUUCCUAGCAUUUUUUUGUUCAGCAAGCUCUUUGGCUGCAAUAGAGUUUUCUUCAUACAUUUCUUUGCUCGGGAAGAACUCCCAUUUUAUCCAGUGGAACACAGGUUGUCACGGACAAAAAUGCCCUUCAUAGUUUGGCGUGCGUCUCAUGUGGUCGUGGUUUUUGUUGGUAUUAACUGCUGAACUUUAUAGAAGACCCAACAUUUUACACUUUGGAUAGAUCGGGGGCCAAAAGUUCACUUUUUAUUAUUAGGGGGCCAAAAAUUCACCUGACUAAUAGUUUGAGGGUCAUUAGGACUUUUUUUCCUUAAUUCUUUAACUUUUGAAUAUGAAGUCCUUCACAAUCAAUUGAUCCCUCAAUCAAGUCCUAAGUAAAAAUAUCUUAAAAGAAGGCAAGAAAUUAUUUGGACUCUAGACCAACCCCUCUCCGUCAUUACGGAGUUCUUAUAAUCUAAUCUCUGCAAUUGAUGGUCAUUUGACUGAGCUAAGGGGUUAGUAUUAAUUCAUGCAAAGAUGCACCUCUAAAGUUAGGGUAAAGAAUUAUCUAUCUCACUUCGUCACGAAGAGCAAUAGUACUAUUAUUUUUCAUGUCUACAGAGAGACAACAAAAUUAGUGAUGCUUAAUCGAAAAAAAAGCAAUCAACUAUAUACUUAACUCAUGCCCCAAGAUUCGCUCAGCACAUGGGGUACGACCUAUUAUUUUGAAAGUUGAAGUGAUCUAAUUGUAUAUGAGAAAGUAAACAAAAAUAGGUAAAGGAACAUUUUGGUCAAGUUUAGUCUAGUGACAAAAAGAGUUGCACAUGUCCAAGUUUUUGCCCAAAAAUAUAGACCAUUCAAACCACCCAAAACAUGGCCUAGUUCUGAGUCAAAUCAACAGGUGCUUGCAUUUACUGAGGUGUUCCUUGUAUUAGGAACCAGGUCUAGCGUACUUGCUGCCUUUAUUGGGUUGAGUUGUUCAACCAACAAGUUGAGCCAAUUUAAUUGGCAUGCGCCUAUGAAACCUAACCACAUUAGCCCCAUGUCCCACGUACCAUAUUGACUUGCAAAACUAGACAAUUUUUUUUCAUCCUUCAAGUACCUCAAAGUAAAUUGGGGAAGAAAUACAAUUUUGUUCCCAAAAACCUUUGUUUGGUUUGUGUGCCAAAUUGUUCUCCAAUGUUUUGCUUAAAAUAAAUAUUGUUCCAUAAAUUUUUAUUUUAGAUAAACUAAGACAGCUAAUGAAUAUCAACCAUGACUAACAGUGAAAAUCAAAUUGAUAACAAUUUUUUAUAGGAAUAAUAUCAGAAACCUCUCUUGAGAUUUCUCCUAAUAUCACUUGGCAUUUUUGAAAAUUUAAAAAUAUCACUUACCUCUCUUAGUAAUUGUAAAAAGACUAUAUUAACCUUUACUUGACACAUAAUGCAUCUAUCAAAUAAAUGUAGCUUAAAAAUUAAAAAAAAAGGAGAACGAAAGUCACUUUCUUCUCUGUCCCUUUUCUCUAACAUUCUUUCUUACUAAUUUUUUUGGAUGACUAUGCAAUAUUUCAUUUAUAAAUUAUAAUAAAUUGAAUUUUGUUUAUCUUUAUUUUUUGUGAUUGUGAUACAAUGAAGUGUGAUUUAUUUGCUUAUUUUGAGUUGAUUUUUAUAAUGAUAAGUACAAUUUAAAAGUUUGGCUACAUGUUGAGAAGCAGUUAGAAAAAAAAAAGUUCAUAAGAAAUCGAUUUUGAGUAUAUAGAGUUAAAUUGGUACAAGUGUAUUUCUAUGCAAAUAUCUAUUUUAUUUUUCAAAUUUAUAUUUUUAUAGAAUGUAAUAUUAUGAUGUGGUAGCACUACUCGAUAUUGUCUUUUAGGUGAUGAUUUUCUUGAAGUAAAUAAAGUGUUUUAGGAAUAUUUUUAUUUAGCAAGUAAAUACGGUUUUUAAAAAUUUUGUUACACAAAUAAUAAAAGUGAGGGAAGUAUGUAAUAUUUUUAAAACGUUAAGGGUGCCAAGUGAUAUGAAGAGAAACUUCAGGGAAGGUUUCUGAUAUUAUCUCUUUUUUAUACUGAUAAAGUACUUAUGGUAUAAGUGAUUCCAGAAAAAGAAAACCUUCAAAACUCCCUACAAAAAUCCCUAAGUGUACUUGAUAUUUAUCUAACAGUUAUCAAUUUCCUUUAGCUUAAAAAACAUCUUCUUAAUAAAUUACUUUCAAUUGAAUAACAAUACAUAGAGAAUAAUAGAAAAAAAAAGUAAUUGGAGAGCAAAGAAUUAUAAUUUGAAUAUGACUGUAUAAUAAUUAGUACGAUCCAAAUUCUUGCAUGACUUGCAUACAUAUGUUUCCAAUAAUUAUAGUUAUGGAUCGUGAAUGCAAUAACCAGCCAAGGUAAGUACCUCACAUUGCUAAUGGGUAUUUUUGAACAAAUUUUCUUGUCUUUCCUGUUAUUAAAAUUUAACAUCCUUAUACUAUAUAAGAAUGAGUUUAGGACAAAGACGGUUUUUAGAUUUCAACUGCAAGUGUGGGGCUAUUUUGGGAAUGUUAGAGUGUUUGAAGUGUAAUUGGAGCAUUGAGUACAAGUCAUUAAAACUUUAAUUUCACUAUAAUUACUUAUAUAACCUUUCAGACAUUUAAGGUUAUGGGCAGAUUUGGUAUGUUACAAUGUUUGGUGCCAAGUUGAGUAUCAAGUACAACUGAAUUAAGCUUGUGUUUUGAUAGAAUUACAUAAAAGCCCUUUUAAUCAUUUAUUAUACUAAUAUCCAAGCCUUCCAAUUUCCUGAAAACCUUUCUCAUCCGUUAAGGAAUUAAUUGGAUGUUUACAUAAUUGGAUUUUAAUUACAAUUAAUUAACUUAAUUAUUAUUUGAACAAUCAUUAUCAUAUUUAUGCCCCCAUGUUAAGCUGAUACCCUUUCUUCUUUUUCGGUUUCACCUCUUUUGUUUUAUUAUGGCUAUUAAAUAUUUGGUGGAAGGCGUAGCUUUUCCUUUAAAUUGAGGUGAGUUCUUUGGGUUUGUCUUCUUCGAAUGUAGUUUUUUUUUCUGAUGAGUGGUUUAUUCAAGAACUCCAUAUAAUUUGCUUUUUGAUACUUCUAAUUCCAAAAACUGACUAAUUGUAUUAUUUUCCUUAGUAGAUCCUAGAGAUUCUGUCUCUGAUUUGAGAUAAUGUUGUCACUUUUUAAAAUAAUCAGAAAAGCAAUUUUAUCAUCUUCUCCUCCUCGGCCAAGGUAUUAUCUCUUUAUUUAAGUCAAAUAACCUUAUUUCUCAUGAACUUUCUCCUAUUGUUGUUGACUCCAGGGAUCUGUUGACUACAUUCUAGCAGUUAUGUUUUUACUAUAACUACCGCAAAGCAAACAAAUGUGCAGACAUGCUAGCAAAUUGGGGAAGAAGCAUCAAUGAAGACUCCACCUUUUUUUAAUCCUAUCCUGAUUUUGUCCUUCCCUUACUUUUGCAAUACUUAAAAGGGUGUCAUCAACACACAGACGACUUUACUUUAACUAUAACUCUAUAGACUUUGACUUAUACUA